GUUCUUGCUUCGGCAGCACAUAUACUAAAAUUGGAACGAUACAGAGAAGAUUAGCAUGGCCCCUGUGUAAGGAUGACACGAAAAUUCGUGAAGUGUUCUAUAUAAAA
rnacentral:snRNA from 1 species